rnacentral:rRNA from 1 species
UGGUGGAGUGAUUUGUCUACUUAAUUGUGAUAACGAACGAGACCUUAACCUGCUAAAUAGUUGGUCGAAUCUUUCGAUUCGGCAUUGACUUCUUAGAGGGACUUUGCGUGUCUAACGCAAGGAAGUUUGAGGCAAUAACA